UUUAAAUGCAAUUAUAAGGUUCCGUUUCCGUCUUAUUUAAAUUUUUUUAUUACAGUAUUAUUAUUAUUAUGAGAUGAUAAAACAUAAAUAUUACUUUAUGCGUGACUUAUGUUUUCACUUUUUUUAAAUAAGACGGACGAUACACGGAAAAUUAUGGUUGCUCUUAAA
rfam:Oryza meridionalis cultivar OR44 (W2112) chromosome 6, whole genome shotgun sequence.